UCCAAAGCCAAUGCAUUACAGUUAAUCGCAUAAAUACUCUACAAGAAAGUUGAAGGAGGUACUUGUAUUUUAAUUCACUUUCCAUAGUGAAGAGAACAUUAAUUAUCUGUUUCCAUUAUGUUUUUGUUUUCCAGAUCUCUUAACCAACAAGAAUCCACUGGAGAUAUUGAAGUUUGGGUGUUAUGUAGACAUUCCCAUUCCAUCAAGUCAGAGACCUAGACAAACCAUAGACCUUUGAGAGAUUAGCUAAAGCAGAAAUCCUUAAUUUGAAGGGGGAAGCCUGCACUCUUUCCCCAUCUUGAGAAACUCUUCUAGACAACUCAGAAUUCAGUUCUAUUCUGUUUUUAUGAAGGAGUUGAAGGUGGCCCACAUCUUUUGUUGUUCAUCCAAU